UACGUAGGGUGCAAGCGUUAAUCGGAAUUACUGGGCGUAAAGCGUGCGCAGGCGGUGCUGUAAGACAGUUGUGAAAUCCCCGGGCUCAACCUGGGAACUGCAUCUGUGACUGCAUCGCUGGAGUGCGGCAGAGGGGGAUGGAAUUCCGCGUGUAGCAGUGAAAUGCGUAGAUAUGCGGAGGAACACCGAUGGCGAAGGCAAUCCCCAGGGCCUGCACUGACGCUCAUGCACGAAAGCGUGGGGAGCAAACAGG
rnacentral:rRNA from 1 species